rnacentral:rRNA from 1 species
GACGAACGCUGGCGGCGUGCUUAACACAUGCAAGUCGAACGGAAAGGCCCUGCUUUUGUGGGGUGCUCGAGUGGCGAACGGGUGAGUAACACGUGAGUAACCUGCCCUUGACUUUGGGAUAACUUCAGGAAACUGGGGCUAAUACCGGAUAGGAGCUCCUGCUGCAUGGUGGGGGUUGGAAAGUUUCGGCGGUUGGGGAUGGACUCGCGGCUUAUCAGCUUGUUGGUGGGGUAGUGGCUUACCAAGGCUUUGACGGGUAGCCGGCCUGAGAGGGUGACCGGGGACAUGGGGACUGAGAGACGGACCAGACUGCUACGGGAGGCAGCAGGGGGGAGUAUUGCACAGUGGGCGGGAGCGUGAUGCAGAAGCGCUGCGUGUGGGAAGACGGCUUUCGGGUAGUGAACAGCAGUAGCCUGUGACGAAGCGGGAGUGACGGUAAUGGGUAAAGAAGCACCGGCUAACUACGUG